rnacentral:rRNA from 1 species
GUUGUAUGGUUAAGUGACUAAGCGUACACGGUGGAUGCCUUGGCAGUCAGAGGCGAUGAAGGACGUGCUACCCUGCGAAAAGGGUUGGUGAGCUGGGAUGGAGCGCUAUAGCCAACCAUGUCCGAAUGGGGAAACCCACCUAAGAUAACUUAGGUAUCGUUAAGUGAAUACAUAGCUUAACGAGGCGAACCGGGAGAACUGAAACAUCUAAGUACCCCGAGGAAAAGAAAUCAACCGAGAUUCCGUUAGUAGCGGCGAGCGAACGCGGAGCAGCCCAGAGUCUGAAUCAGUGGAUGCGUUAGUGGAACGGAUUGGAAAGUCCGGCGAUACAGGGUGAUAGCCCCGUACACGAAGACGCAUUGCUGUGAGCUCGAUGAGUAGGACGGGACACGUGGUAUCCUGUUUGAAGAUGGGGGGACCAUCCUCCAAGGCUAAAUACUCCUGACUGACCGAUAGCGAACCAGUACCGUGAGGGAAAGGCGAAAAGAACCCCUGUGAGGGGAGUGAAAUAGAACCUGAAACCGUGUACGUACAAGCAGUGGGAGCACCUUCGUGGUGUGACUGCGUACCUUUUGUAUAAUGGGUCAGCGACUUACAUUUUGUAGCGAGGUUAACCGAAUAGGGGAGCCGUAGGGAAACCGAGUCUUAAUAGGGCGAAUUAGUUGCAAGGUGUAGACCCGAAACCCGGUGAUCUAGCCAUGGGCAGGUUGAAGGUUGGGUAACACUAACUGGAGGACCGAACCGACUAAUGUUGAAAAAUUAGCGGAUGACUUGUGGCUGGGGGUGAAAGGCCAAUCAAACCGGGAGAUAGCUGGUUCUCCCCGAAAGCUAUUUAGGUAGCGCCUCGGACGAACACCUACGGGGGUAGAGCACUGUUAAGGCUAGGGGGUCAUCCCGACUUACCAACCCUUUGCAAACUCCGAAUACCGUAGAGUGCUAUCCGGGAGACACACGGCGGGUGCUAACGUCCGUCGUGAAGAGGGAAACAACCCAGACCGCCAGCUAAGGUCCCAAAGUCAUGGUUAAGUGGGAAACGAUGUGGGAAGGCUUAGACAGCUAGGAUGUUGGCUUAGAAGCAGCCAUCAUUUAAAGAAAGCGUAAUAGCUCACUAGUCGAGUCGGCCUGCGCGGAAGAUGUAACGGGGCUAAACCAUGCACCGAAGCUGCGGCAAUGACGCUUAGGCGUUAUUGGGUAGGGGAGCGUUCUGUAAGCGGUUGAAGGUGUGCUGUGAGGCAUGCUGGACGUAUCAGAAGUGCGAAUGCUGACAUAAGUAACGAUAAAGCGGGUGAAAAGCCCGCUCGCCGGAAGACCAAGGGUUCCUGUUCAACGUUAAUCGGAGCAGGGUGAGUCGACCCCUAAGGCGAGGCUGAAAAGCGUAGUCGAUGGGAAACGGGUUAAUAUUCCCGUACUUGUGGUAACUGCGAAGGGGGGACGGAGAAAGUUAGGCUAUCCGGGCGACGGUUGUCCCGGUUUAAGCGUGAAGGUGGAGAGACUAGGCAAAUCCGGUCUUUCAUUAACACUGAGGCGUGAUGACGAAGCACUACGGUGCUGAAGUAGCUGAUACUACGCUUCCAGGAAAAGCCUCUAAGCAUCAGGUUACCAGAAAUCGUACCCCAAACCGACACAGGUGGUCAGGUAGAGAAUACUCAGGCGCUUGAGAGAACUCGGGUGAAGGAACUAGGCAAAAUGGUGCCGUAACUUCGGGAGAAGGCACGCUGAUGGUAGGUGAAGUCCCUCGCGGAUGGAGC